rfam:Citrus clementina cultivar Clemenules unplaced genomic scaffold scaffold_3, whole genome shotgun sequence.
AUACCAUGAUGAAGGCAUCUCCUCGGUAACUCCUUGAAUCUUUCCCAUGCAUUACAAAAGCUUUGAUCUUCAAGUUGAUGGAAAGAUGUGAUCUCAUUCCUCAACUU